rnacentral:rRNA from 1 species
GACGAACGCUGGCGGCGUGCCUAAUACAUGCCAGUCGAGCGGACGGAUGGGAGCUUGCUCCCAGACCGUCAGCGGCGGACGGGUGAGUAACACGUGGGCAACCUGCCUGUAAGACUGGGAUAACUCCGGGAAACCGGGGCUAAUACCGGAUAACUCUUUCCCUCACAUGAGGGAAAGCUGAAAGAUGGCAUCUCGCUAUCACUUACAAAUGGGCCCGCGGCGCAUUAGCUAGUUGGUGAGGUAACGGCUCACCAAGGCGACGAUGCGUAGCCGACCUGAGAGGGUGAUCGGCCACACUGGGACUGAGACACGGCCCAGACUCCUACGGGAGGCAGCAGUAGGGAAUCUUCCGCAAUGGACGAAAGUCUGACGGAGCAACGCCGCGUGAGUGAUGAAGGUUUUCGGAUCGUAAAACUCUGUUGUCAGGGAAGAACAAGUACCGGAGUAACUGCCGGUACCUUGACGGUACCUGACCAGAAAGCCACGGCUAACUACGUG